AAUAUUUUACUUCUAAUGGCAUACCUAUGUAAUUACUUACAAAAAAUAAGGUUAAUUUUUAUUAUGUACUUCCCAAAUAAUAGUAUAGGAUGAUUUUAUAAAC
rnacentral:sRNA from 1 species